rnacentral:rRNA from 1 species
GAUGAACGCUGGCGGCGUGCCUAAUACAUGCAAGUCGAGCGGACGGACGAGAAGCUUGCUUCUCUGAUGUUAGCGGCGGACGGGUGAGUAACGCGUGGAUAACCUACCUAUAAGACUGGGAUAACUUCGGGAAACCGGAGCUAAUACCGGAUAAUAUUUUGAACCGCAUGGUUCAAAAGUGAAAGACGGUCUUGCUGUCACUUAUAGCUGGAUCCGGGCUGCUUUAGCUAGUUGGUAAGGUAAAGGCUUACCAAGGCAACGAUGCAUAGCCGACCUGAGAGGGUGAUCGGCCACACUGGAACUUAGACACGGUCCAGACUCCUACGGGAGGCAGCAGUAGGGAAUCUUCCGCAAUGGGCGAAAGCCUGACGGAGCAACGCCGCGUGAGUGAUGAAGGUCUUCGGAUCGUAAAACUCUGUUAUUAGGGAAGAACAUAUGUGUAAGUAACUGUGCACAUCUUGACGGUACCUAAUCAGAAAGCCCCGGCUAACUACGUG